ACCCCCCCUCCCCCCACCCUCCCUCCCGCCCCUCCCCCACACCCCCGCCCCCUGCCCUUCCCGAGGGCAGCAGCCGCGGCCCGGAGAUAGCGCUGGCGCAGCGCGGGCUCUGCCUGGGCUAGUGGCACCGACUUGGGUAUGUUUCUUAUGAAUAUUACGCGCGGAGCAGCGUCUGAUCGGCAGAAACUAGUGACAUCCUGGCACAGGAGGAAAGUGUCCUGGAGGGAAGUUACACCUUUGACCUAGCAGUGAAAUUAGCUCUGUGGACUCAGGCACGAAGAAGGGUGCCUAGAACUCUGGGUCUCCAGCUCCCAUGUGCCCAUUGCACAGCGUAGACACUCGGCUUGCCCACAGGAAAGACAAAGCUCUGACCCCAGCACAAACGGACAUCCAGGAUAUUCCCAUCCUAAUUAGAGGGGAGGCCCGAGCUUUCCUGGUUCUAUGCCACAACUUUAAAGAGGAUGGUAUUCCUCCCAAACCUCCCUCAACUCCCCAGGUUCUGAAACAAACUCUGCAACAGCACAAGUGCCGCUAAAAGAGAGAAAGGGAGCUUUCGUGCAAUUCCAAGGCGUCCACCGCGGUCCUUCUCAAAGGAAGGUGUUAAAAAUAUAAGUAGUAUGUUUAAACUGUCAGGGAGCCAAAGUGUCACGUUAGAGCAAAAACAAAGCCUGGGGAAAGGGAGAAAUCAGAAAACACUUUGGGCCAGGGUGGCCUCAUGCAUACCAAUGGUUUUUGUCAUUUAUGGCUGGGCAAGAUUUAUGACUCGGCGCCCCAAAGCUGUAAACAGAGCGCAAAACAGCAAACACUUGUUCCUUAUAGCAUAUUGCGGCGGCACAACUUGAAAGGGGGAACCGGGCUGUGUAGGAGGUGACAGCCAGCCGCAAAAAUCCGCAGGGCGGCAUUUUCUCUUCAAACCCGCCGGUCGGAUGUGGCAUUUGAAGAAAGAAGGCGUGGGUCAAUAAUCAACCCGCACUUUCUCCUCCAAAUCGCUGACGCGACUCUAACCUCCUUCUCAACUAAACCAGCCGCAGGGAAGGCCAGCUCUCUGUGAGAACCUGCCCCGAGGAAGGGAUCGUCUGGGCAGAGGACACCCGAGCAAGGGCUGGGGCUCCCGGAGCGCAUACCUUUCCAGAGCGCUGAGACCAAGCCGCGCACACCGCACACCGAGCAGAGCAAACCAUGGGGACUGGACCUGAGGCGCUGAGGAAGAUCUGGUCAGGAGCUCAUCUCGGGCCAGGCCGCAUCCCUCCCCCAACUAAGUCGCUUCUGGGCUUCGGGCUCCACUGGAAGAAUUGGGGCUCAGACUUCUAGUCGAAGGUCUAGUGUCCUGGCAGAAAGACUGCCGGUGUCCCUGCCUCAUGACUGCCAAAAUCUAAAGGACUGGCUUUGGAACAAACGCAGACAAGAUGAUUAAAAAUAAUUUACAAUGGCGGAAAGUUUUUGUUGGUUGGUCAUUGUUUUUUAAGAGAAAAUAUGCUUGUUGAUUUUUGCCUCCAGACAUUAUUCAAACGCAGUUGUGCCCUUUCUAGACAAAUCCCACAGCAAUUCACCUGGCUUCUUCAAAUCCACCGAGCCUUUCUUUGCUGAGAGGACCCCAUGGGCCCCCGAACUUCCUUAGGUCCCCAUGUUUCCUGAUCUGUCAUCCAAGGGGAGUACAAGAAAAGUUUCUCAGCAGUAGAAGAAUAUUUGGAGCAGCAAAGGUGCCUGGUGUUUCCUUUCUACCAUCAAGAGGGUGUACUGCAUAUCUCUGAGGGCCUCAGAGCUCCAAGACCAUCUUUACAGCCAGGGAGGAAGGUGAGGAGUAAUUAUUGGCAAGAACAAGCAUUGAAAUCCCAAAACAAGGAGGCAAAUUACUGAGGAAAUAUACUUGCCUACGAAGGUGAGGUUGGAAUUUUGAAGGUAUAGGGGACCAGCCUUAGCUAUUGUGGAGUGGCUUUAGAUCUUUCCUGGGAGGAAAAACCAACCUGUGCUCUAUAAAAGCAGCUUUUGGCUUCUUACUAUGCAUGCUUUGAUACAUAACCAGCUUGGAGAAUCCAUAGCUAGAUAUUUAUUCAAGCGGCUGGCAGUGAAGUGACAAUAAAAAGAUGCCUCUAACAAACCUCUAUUCCCUUUCUCAUUCUUUCUAGUGAAACUAUAUUAUUUAUGAGUCUUUAACUGGGUCAAAAAUGCACCAGAACUGGGUCAUAAAUCAUAUGAAAUGCUGACAGGUAAUUGAACAGCAAUUAAAGCUUACAUUUUAUUUCCAAAGGGUGUUUUAAAGCACUUGAAAUGGCCUCAGUUAAACAUGGUUACCGCGGAGGCCGGCUGGGGAGGGCAGAAUGAGCCCUUCUGCUCUGGAAAGUAAAUCUCACUCAAAUAGGAAGUGUGACUUGAGGGGUUUUUUUAAGCUAAUAAAAAAAUAAGAAUUUUUAAAACAUCAAAGAGGCAAAUUAAAUUCAGAACUCCUUGUAAGCACCCUUUUUCCUGCUCUAUGAGCAAAGGAAAGUGGGAAUUUCUUUUACCUUCCUAAGGAGUUUGUACUCUUCUCAGGAUUGUGGAAUCCCCAAAGCCCAAUUAGCCUAGGCUUUCUGAGUAAUUUAGAAGCAUACAAUUAGACUCUCUUCUCCCUCCAUCCUGGCUGCUGCUGUUUCUGGGACUCUAAAACCAGAGAGAUGUCUGCCUCUGCUUCCUGAGGACUGUGCCUCCAGCUUCCCUCCAACCCAAGGUGCACAGCCAGUUCUUGAAUUCUCCGUGCUGGGUUGGAGACAUACAGGAAGCACUCAGCACACCGAUGAGAUCCAAGCCUAGCCCCUGUACCGUUCCAAAUUAAAAAAUAACUCAGGAUCCAGGUAAUAAACUCAGCUCACCACCACCCCAAGCCUCUCCUAGGUCUGAGCUGUCUUCCCUCUCUCCCAGGCAGAUGGUGUUCAGGGAAACAAUGGCUCGCCCUCCGGGUCUACUGCCUUAGGUCUGGCUGAGCGGCUGAGCGUGGGGAAGCAUGCCUUGCAACCUAGCACUGAAUAAAGUGGCUGGAAGCAUCAUCAAUAAAAUGGCAGCACAUCUGCACAUUUCCCUCAUCGAUUUUCCUCUCCCAUCUGCUUAGACUGCUCAGAUCAGCCCAAAGCCUCCAUCCCCGACAGGCAAACACAGCUAACCCUGGAGAGAUUCCUCUUCUCAGCCACCAUCCUCCACCCCUUCCAUGAGGUCUUGCUUUCCAAAUGGCACUGGCCUUUACCUCGGCCUAUGCCGGCAGCUGCCGAUGCUGCUGCCGCCACCGAUUCAGGAUCUUUCCUCUGCUGAGUCUCGGCUCCUAGGACUCCAGACCUGCCCGCUACGGUGCAGUGGACAAAGCCAACCUCAUGCUGAAGACUACUGGCCCACCUAGUAACCCCUAAGUUCCCCCCUUCUUUGCACCCUGCAAUACUUUUCAGGGAAUUAAACUCAGAGUUUGAGACACUAAAUGGUUUCAGUUCUAAGUGAGAAACAAAGGAAAAGAAAGGUUGAGGGUCCUGUCCAUGAGCCAGGGUCUCCUUGCUUGACCUUUGUCUCUCACAGCUAUAACUCAUUGUAGAUAUGAACAAUCAACGGAAAUACCUUAAAAUAAAUUCCAUCCUCCUGGUGUGGCCUCCAGUCCCAUCGGCUGGCUAGCUUGCCCAGAACUGCUCCAUGAGCGCUGAGAACUGCACCCGCUCUAAGAGUGCUCUCCGGAGGAGAAGGGGAAGGAGAAGGAGGAGGAAAAGAAAAUGUUGAGGCAGUAGAAGACUGGAUCUUUUCCCAUAGGAAGAACUAUAAUCAGCCCUGUUGAAAGACUGCAGAACACCCGAUACUUGUGAAGGCCUACACAUUGGAAAUACAAGAACUUCUCUCCUGUCAUGGAGAAGCAAAAGGAUCAGAGAAACUGAAAGACAUCAGGCUAUAAGGCAAGUUUCCUCAACCAGGUACUAAGACUGGUGACAAUUUCCAAAGCAGCAGACACCUCAGUGGACAAGCAGCUCAGCCCACACAGCAGCCACAAUGCCCGUGGCCUCUACUUGCUUUUGCCUUGCAGUUUCAUGCAGUGGUUUGUUUGGGUCUUGCAGGAAAAAACAAACACAUCCCCUUCGCCUCCCCUAACCCCAUGUUUGGCUUCACAACUGCUUUCCUCCUGCCCAUUACAGGCUUUGGGGGAGACUCUUUGUCUGCCUCAAGCCCAGCACUGUUGGGCAUGAAGCUGAAGGCAACUCAGCUCCAAAACUCCUCUUAAGUUAAAUAUUGACCAGAAUCUCUUUCAACCUGCUGUAGUUGCCAGGAGCUGGAUAGAGCAAACUCUUCCUAACUGCAUGGUGCAAAGUUCGCCGCAAAGAGUUCUGGCACAUUGCUUACCUCCAAAGAUGUUUAAAUCUGGACCAGGAAUUGUUUCCAGCUUCAGGCCCUCAGGGAAUCGUUUUUUCCUGUGUCCAAGCACUCUGUGGACAAAUAAACAGCAGAAAGUGAACAGUGGCUGCAAGGGAAGGGAGUUGGAGGACCAGAGUUGAAAAUGUGGCCUGUGCGGGUUUCAGGAUAGCCCCGGGGUGAUGCAGACACAGAGGAGUUGCCAGGGCAUUUGUCCAUGCAAUGGCACUCAACUCGAAAUGUUCCAGUCUGCAAAUGACCUGAAGCUGGUGAUUUAUUUUUGUAAAAUAAAUACAUACUCCAUCUCUGCACCCACACUCUCUCCUUUUCUUUCUUUUAUAGGAGGAGGGAGAAAAUGGACUAGAUGGUUAAAGAAGAUAGGAAAAAGGUGGAAGAGGCUUUGCUGGUGGUUCGGAGUCAGCUGGCAGGGCUCCUCACGCACAACUUGGGGAAUGUGAAUGCAUGCUUUAUUUUCUUUUGCCAACAAAGGGAAGCCUUGUCUGGAAGCAUUCAAUCAGGAUUCUCCCGAAACCUCACUAAUAGUGUUCAUUUCUGUUGGUGGCUCAGUUCACAGACUCAGAUCAGUCUUGGGAGGUUUUAUCUCCUGGUUCAUUCAAGUGCUAGGCGGCCACUUUUUGGUCUUGCUGGGCUGGCAGGCCAGUGACUGCUGCUGGAAACUGGGCAAGACUACAGCAGGUUGCUAAACAACAUUCAAUCAAUGCUUAGCAGUCAGGAAUCUGUAAAACUAAAACGCCUUGAUUCUGUAAUCUCACACUUCACAAUAUUUGCAACACUCUCUUGUGCUCUAACCAGGAAAUCUGAUCCUGGAACCCUCAGCCAACUUUCUGGGGGAAGGAUACCCUGAGAAAGAAACAGAGAAUCCACUGGUGAGUUCUGCUGGGACUCUAGUUUAUAUAGCUCUAAUCUUGAGUCCACCACUUUACCCAGAUGUAGGUAACUUCUCAGACUCUGACCUUCUCCAAAACAGACCUCUCCUGCCUUUCCCGCAUCCAUGUGAGAGGGUCUACCAAAUAGCUGAACAAGCCCUCUGACUCUGGGCUUCAGAGCCCCCAGCAUGAUGAGCAAGUGGCAGCAAACUGACAACUGCCUUCUGCCACAACUGCCUGCAGCCUUUAACCUCCAUCCCUGCUGGGGACACAGAAUCCAAGCUGGACCCUUUUCCCUUCUUCACCCUUGCCCUCUGUAUCUUGAAAGGAGAAUCUCCAGCCUCGGGGCUCCUGGCAAGACCGAGCUGGGUGGGGCUUAGACAUCCUACACUUUGCACUUCAAUUUCGCCCCAGAAAGCUCCUCUAUGCCACCAUCCACCGCCGUCACAACCUCCACCACUCAUCAGGCUGAGUAUUAUUAUUAUGGUUAUUAUUAUUGUCGCUAUUUCCUUAUCCCCAAGGCUAAUAUUCUCGGCUGCCGUUCCCCAUAAAUCCUUCAGACUAAUGAGUCAAAGAGAAAGAGAGAUGCUGCCCAGGUCUCUAGCUCUGCAAUGGCCGCCGCCGCCUCGCCCCGUGGCCUCACUCUCCGCGUUUUUGGCGUCCGCUUGCUCCCUCGAUCGCCUGGCGCAGUUGAUUUAUGAAAGCCCGGAAAAUUGAACAAAGCCGCGCGCCCGUCCUGUGGUAUCUCUGCAGCCUUCCUCAGAGUGAAUCAGAACAUUACCAACUGUCUGCGCAUCCGUCCCACUUCAUCACCAAAGCCAGGAUGUGACCACAAAAAAAAAAAAAAAGCUCCCAAACUCACGUUUCCCUGGACACAGCGCACUCCCUGGACUCUCAGGAACCCGGCAGAAAAGCACCAGGACCUAGCCAGAGACCACCAGCUCUGGUUCUCCUCGCUAAAUGGCUCCCUCCUGCUUUCCUGAAGGAGUUAAAAGCCUUUGAAGAUAAAUCUGAGGGUGCGAGUAUUUAAAAAUCAAAUAGAAAUUUGGAGUCUCACUUCUGAGAGAUUCAUUCCUAGUGAGGCCCUGACGACUCCGAUCCAUUCCAGACGAUCCGCAUUAAUUAUUUAAUGAGUCACGUGACCGCAAAGAUUACAAUUUCAAUAUCUCCCUCCAACAGGCUUUAUACCUUUAUCAGCUGCAACCAGGGUCCCUGUUUUUUGUUUGUGUGUGCGUGCGUGUGUGUGUGUGUGUGUGUGUGUGUGUGUGUGUGUGUUUUGUUCCCGAGGCCUCCUGAGUUCAUUCACCCUUGUGCCUUGGGGCAAACAACCGUCAAAAAAUCACAGGGAGAACAUAACAGAGUUAGUCAAUCUGGGAGGAGGAGCAUUGUGGGCAGUAGGGAGCGCACUGCUCUCCAAGUCACCUUGAUAUCCAUCAGCUCCUGAGACCAGUGCCAAUCACCUGUCUGAGUGCCAAGUCUAGGGAAGUUUGGUGACAUAUCUUCCAAGGCAGCUUUGAUGCUACACUGGGCAAGAUCCCUUCUAAAUCCAGGCUAUGCACACCUGUAGCUAUUUACAUCAGGGGUAAGCCCAUGUACAUACCGCAUCCUAUUCUCUUUGAAGAAUAGCUUCUGCUGGGGAAUAAAAUGACUGUGUGCUUACCAUAUCCAUGUCCAAGGUGACACCAAAGGCUCCUCUCAGCCUACACACUCAUAGCAUAAAAACAUGGAGAGGUGGAAUAUUCAGCUGCUUCAGUUUCCUCAUAUGGAAACUGAGAAGAUUGAAUUCAAAUGACUUCCAGAUCUCUUUCAACUUGGACAGUUUUUCAGUCUGGAUUCUCUUUCAGUUCUAGGAAGCCUUUCUAGAGAGAAGACUGGCCUGAAAGAGGAAAGGAUGUGCUUCAUGAAUUUGGAGCCUUCAGAAGAGAUGCCAGAGUUCUCAGCCAGAAGUUGCAGACUAAAAGGUUUUAUGACUUGAUACUAUCAAAGAGGCAUAAUGCACAACUCUUCCUUUUCCUCCCCACUCUUCUCUCCUCCUCUUCUUCCUUCUCCUCCAGAGCUUGUCCUUCCUAGGUCCAAAGCGGUUAUUCUUGAUGCGGUGUGUUGUGGAGAACAGGUAUCAGGAGCCUCAGUUAGGAAAGGUGAGCUUGAGUUCUUCAAUAUGAGAUGGUGCCUGGGAAUGCAGAGACCAGGGAGGUGCCAGAGAUACCCUGCUGCUUGCACAGAACUCAUUCAAGUAGGAAGCCUCGGGUUUCUAAUUAUUUAUUCUUUGGGUUUUUUUCUUUCAUUUUACAGAGUUGCUGAUCUGUUUCUGUGCUGGCCCUGCCAGAAGGAAGGCAGCAUUGAGAAAAACAGCAGUUUGGAAGUUUGGAGGGUUAUGGGACCUCAGGAGAUAUGAUGAUUCCUAUUGCAUGGGGAGAGAGGAGAGAAUGAGGGGAAAUGGGGCACCCUGGGACAGCUGGAUAUAAAGAGGAUACUGUGCAGCAGGCCUUACCCCAUAUAUCUAGGGAAGGACACGUUCCUAUGUGUUACACAGACUUGAAGCCUGAAAGCCUCGCCAAGUUUGGGAAGAAGAGGAGCCCUCUCAAAGCUCAAGAGCCUUCUUGGUCUUUGGAAUAUUUCCACAGUGGAUCAAGCUUGACAAGAGUUCAGCUCAAAUUGAACACACACACACACACACACACUCUCUCUCUUUCUCUCUUUCUCUCUCGCACAAAUUACAUGCACAGUCAGAAUCCAUGUGAACACAGCUAAACCAUUUACAAGGCUUUUUACAUGCAAGGUCAAGAAUCUCAGUCCAGAGGAAAAGCUUAGGAAACACACAAAUCUGUCUCUUAGAUUUUUAAUAUUUUUUAAAUGAAGUUUAUUCUCGGCACAUGGCUUUCUAUACAGCCAUAUCACAAUUUAUACAGUUGCACAUGGGUCUAAAUGCAUCCCCCUCUUCCCAGAGAUAGCUCCCCAGAAUAAGUCAACAAUAUCUUAAUAACAAUAUCUUAAAUAAAUGCAAAAAAGGGAAACAGUCACACCUACCAUCAAAAUCUACAUGUUUUGAGAAUUAAAUAAUCUUGUGAGGUCCACAGUA